rnacentral:rRNA from 1 species
GAUGAACGCUGGCGGCGUGCCUAAUACAUGCAAGUCGAGCGAACAGACGAGGAGCUUGCUCCUUCGACGUUAGCGGCGGACGGGUGAGUAACACGUAGGUAACCUACCUAUAAGACUGGGAUAACUUCGGGAAACCGGAGCUAAUACCGGAUAAUAUUUCGAACCGCAUGGUUCGAUAGUGAAAGAUGGCUUUGCUAUCACUUAUAGAUGGAUCUGCGCCGUAUUAGCUAGUUGGUAAGGUAACGGCUUACCAAGGCAACGAUACGUAGCCGAACUGAGAGGGUGAUCGGCCACACUGGAACUGAGACACGGUCCAGACUCCUACGGGAGGCAGCAGUAGGGAAUCUUCCGCAAUGGGCGAAAGCCUGACGGAGCAACGCCGCGUGAGUGAUGAAGGUCUUCGGAUCGUAAAACUCUGUUAUUAGGGAAGAACAGACGUGUAAGGAACUGUGCACGGCUUGACGGUACCUAAUCAGAAAGCCACGGCUAACUACGUG